ensembl:lncRNA
CUCGGCCCCUCCCUGCCUUCUUUCCUGGUUCUGCAUGAAGCUCAUUCCCUUUCUCCCUUCAGUUAUGGCCCAGCCAGGGGCCCCUCACCAAGAUACUAUUGCCAUGUCAUUGGAUCCUCCAGCCAUAAGAAUCAUGAGCCAAGGAAAUCUCUUUAUAAGUUAUCAGGUGGACCCUAAACACAGUCCCAAGUAGUCUUCCAGGAGAGAGGCAGGGGGAGGCUCAACGUGGAUCAGAGAGGACAAGACAGAGAUGGACACAAGCCCAAGAAUGCCAGCAGCCACACAAAACUGGGAGAGAUUCGCCACCUGCUGCACAAGUGGCAAGGACCUGAGUUCGAUUCCUGGUACCAAGAAAAAGGAAAAGAAAACUGGGAGAGAUAAGGGACAACUUCUUACUAAUGAGAUCUCCUCCUCUACAACCUCUUGUUGUUGGAAGACAAUCACCUACAAUCCCGAAGUAAAAGACAGAGAGGAAGAAUCAUUGGCUCAGCUGUGAUCACAUGACAGCCGGCAUCACAUACCACGCAUAUUGGAAAUUCGUCACAGGAAACUUGGGAUACUAAUGCACCAGGGACUCCUGUCAAUGGCCCUGCUCCACCCAAAAAGGACCUUUCAAGAAUGCAGAGUCCCCAAGUGACAUGGAAAUUGUCAUAGUCAUGUUGCCUCAGGGUCCAACUGUUAUGUCACUACUUUUUAGCUGUAAACUUUGACAAAUGGCCUAACCUCUCUGAACCUGUUUCUUUAUCAAAAAAAAAAUAAAGAUAACUAUACCACCACCUGAAAUUGCUUGGAGAUGAAAUGAGAGAGCACACAUCAGCCAGAGCCUGGCAUGUCAUAUCCUGGCCAUCAG